rnacentral:rRNA from 1 species
UACGUAGGGUGCGAGCGUUGUCCGGAAUUAUUGGGCGUAAAGGGCGCGUAGGCGGCCUGGCAAGUGGAAGGUGAAAUCCCUCGGCUUAACCGAGGAACUGCCUCCCAAACUGCUUGGCUUGAGACCAGGAGAGGUGAGUGGAAUUCCCAGUGUAGCAGUGAAAUGCGUAGAGAUGUGGAGGAAUACCGAUGGCGAAGGCAGCCCCCUGGGAUAACACUGACGCUCAUGCACGAAAGCGUGGGGAGCAAACAGG